CAGUUUUGGAGUCAGACCUGGGUUUGAACCCUGAUUGUGUCAUGUUCCAUCCCAUCUGUGGGGCCAGGACAAACUCCUCCAGCUGCCAGAGCCUUCCUUCUGCCUUCUGUAAAGUGGUCAUGUUGAUCCCCUGUAGGGCCACCAGGAGAACUGGACCAGGUAGGGCACGAAGGGAAGCCCAGGGCAGUGUUGGUUUCAGUUCCCUUCCCCUAGCAAACCCCAGGUCCUCCAUAAAUAGGUUUCAGCACAUAUCAUGGAGGACCGGAGGUGUGGACCAUUUUUCAUUAUAGGGUAGAAACUUGAGCUCUACUUGCUAUGAAGACUUUGUGACACUCUGAUGGUCCUGCCUGGAGAUCUGAUUUUUCUUCUUUGUGUGCGGUGUUAACAUUUGAUCCUAGCUGACUUUUCAGUGCUGUGUCCUCCCAUUGGGUGAGUUUUGACACACGCACAUGUAAAAUGAGAGCCUCUUCCAUAUUGUAUGAGGUUUGUGCCAAUGAAACCCGAGCCCCAACUCAUGAAUAAUCCACCUGUUCUUGCGCUCCUCAGAUGAUAUUUUCCUGAGCAAUCUGCAGGACCCGUGGCCACCUCAAAAUCUCCAGAAACUCCAUAAUGUGACUUCGCUUAAUUUUAUUAAGUCUCCACCCAUGAAAUAUUCACGGGAUGGAGCCCACCUCCCAAGGACAGGCUGAGAAAAGUUUCAGCUACGUCGUCAGGGUCCCCGGCAGCGAUGGGCUUGAUGUCAUGAAUAUCGAUGUGAAAAUCGACACGUCCUGGGUAUUCCGGGACGCAGAGGACAGCGGUGGGGAACAGGGACGUCUUCCGGAGGAAGUGGCUGGCGGCCCAGAUGUGGACACCCGUAGGCUCAGGAAGCAGCUGGAGUCCUCAGAGCAGAAGCUGGUGGCAGCGGUGGACAAGCACGUCCCACGGGAGUCCCCCGAGCUGAGGAGCAGGGUCCAGGAGCUGGAGCUGGCGGAGAGGAAGCUGCUGCGGAGGGUGGACGCGCUGAGCACCCGCCUGGUCCAGGAACGCAGCGCGGGGCUCCGCGCCCACGAACAGCUGCGGGCGCUGCAGAUGGAGCUGGCCAGCCGGGUCCGGGAAGAGGAGCUCACGGCCCAGCGGCAGCGGGAGCAGCUGUGGCGGUGGCGGGAGCGGCUGCGGCGCAAGGACGAGGCGCUGGGGCUGCAGGCGGCCGCCCUGGAGCGCUGCAGGCAGAGCCAGCGGCGCCAGCUGUGCCUCGUGCGUGGCCAGGAGCGCGUGCUGCGGGCGCAGGUGCAGCGGCUGGAGCGGGAUGUGCGGCGCCUGUGCCGCGCCACGGGCCUCCUCUUGGCCCAACUGGGGCCCCCGGCGCGGGGUCUGGGUACCCCCAAGGCGUCGGCGGAGCCGCACACUUUGUCUGCCGGAGCCGAGCGCACCGAGCGCGAGGGCGCGGAGGCGGUGCGCAGGCUGCGGGAGCACCGGGCGCGGGAGCACGAGCCCCGCGGGCAGCUGGAGGAGCUGCGCGGCCGCGUGUCCGGGCUGCGACUGUCGGAGAUCGGCCUGCGGGGCUGCGAGGAGGAGCUCGCCGAGCAGAAGCGCGGCCUGCGGGAGCAACCGGGCGCCGGGCACUCCAGCCUGGUAAGUGGCCGGAACCCGGGGCAGGAGUGACCGUGCGCGGACCCCUUUCUCUUUUUUGCUUUGGAGACAGGGGCUCUAUGUAGUUCAGGCUGACCUUGAGCUCUGGAGCCCAGGCUGGUCUCCAGCUCGGGCCAGUGCUCCUGCCUCACCUUCCUAAGUGCUGGGAUUACAGGUGUGGGCCACCAUGCCCUAGGCUUCUCUCGAACUUUCUGGUCCAGCAACUUGAUGCAGUCACUGACCUUUGAACUCCCAUGUCCUCUGUCUAUCCCAUCUGCACCCACCCACCCAGCCCCCUCCUCACAGCUCUGCCCGCCCUCCUCGGUCUCUGCCUCACUGCCGGUCCUGGUGCCUGCGCACCCGUCAGUUUCCCACCCACCCGACUCUGUGCCCCUGCGUGGUCUUCCAUUCACCCACCUCUGCUUGCCCAUCCGUCCGCCUCCACUUCCUUCUCCACCCACCGGUCUGUGUGCUGGUUCCUUCUCCCAUCCGCCCACCAAGCCCCUUGUUACACAGUGUUUUGGUUCCUGGGGGCGCAGUGACCGAACCCCACCGCAGGAGCCUUCUGAACAGACCCUCCUCCCACCGUCCACCAGCCCAACUGCAGGCCCUGCAGACGGUGGAGAUUCCUGUCUCGUGUGGGGGAGCAGUGUGGGCCUCUCAGGGGUCUCUUAGAAGGAUGCUCACCUCAUCCAUUGGGGCCUGGAGCUCAUGGCCCGGUCACAUCUGCAAGGCCCUCCCAACACCAGCACCUUGAGACUAGGAUUCUCCUUAUGAAUUUCAGACCCCAGCACCCAUCCAGUCACCUGUGCCCCAUCAUUUUCUCACGUACCCGCCGUUUUCUUGUUCGUCAUCACUCUAGUCCCGCAGGCUGUCUCCUGUAAUCUGUUUCCCCGUCUGCCCAUCAGGCCAACGUUGUGUGUGUGUGUGUGUGGUGUGGCACUGGGGUCAAACCUGAGGCCUUCACACUAAGCUACAUCCCUAGCUCAUUUUCUAUUUUGAAACAGGUUCUCACUAGGUCGCUAAGUUGUUCAGGCUGGGCUUGAAUUCAUGAGCCUCCUGCCUCAGCGUCUCAUUCUGGCCAACGUUGAAGGGGUCUCUGCUGGGUGCGAGCCUUGUGCAAGACGAGGCCCUCCUCUCAGGUGGUGUCAAGGCUGUCCUGACCCAGCCUCACCCCCAGGGGGUGGCAGGUCUUACUGGGCUCUGCCGUUUCUUCCUCGAGUGUGUGCUCCUGCAGCGCAGGGCCCGGGCUUGGCUGGUCUUCGCAGCUCCAGCCCCAGUGGCAGCACACAGGAAACCCCAGGGCUGCGGAGGAGGGGACCUAUGGGGUCUCCCCUUCCUGGUUCCCAUAGUUGCUAAGUGUCACCUGAGCCAGCUUCUUAAACUGGGGAGAGCAGGCUGCAGAUUGAUCCAUUCAUUUGGCGGAGGGAGGAGCGAGCGCCUGCGUUUCCUAUCUUCCUGCCCUGUGUGAGGCUGCACCCUGCUGGCCGUUCUCAGGACAGCAUCUGUAAUGCGCCUUAAGACUGAGGCGGGGGGUGGCAUCUGGCUCUGCGGAGGCUCAGAGCUCCGAGGAACAGAACUGCAGCUCCAGCCUCUGAGUUCAGACUGCACGGUUCCUCUGCACAGCCGGCUCCCCGGGAAGGAGGCUCUCGCUUGACUCGCUUCUCUGGGUUCACUUGCAGUUAGGAACCCCAGCCCGAAGAGGCUCACUCAUCCCAACCAACCGGAUUGACCCCGGAACCAGACGUGCUCUGUGUUUUCCCAAGAUAAUGAUGUAUGUCUUGCCCAGGUCAUUUUAUUUUUUUUAAAUUUUAUUUUAUUGAGACAGUUUCACUAUGUAGCCCAAGCUGGCCUCGAACUCACAGCAAUCCUCUUGCCUCAGCCUCCCGAGUGCUGGGAUUACAGGCCUGCGCCACCGCGCCCGGCUGUGUUGAGGUCCUUUUAAUAAUGGCUUUAUCGGGGUGACACUUGUCUUGUCCCCCCCACCCCCCGUCCCUUGUGUGUGUGUCCUGCGCAUCCUGCCUCUAUUACGUUAUCAGGCAGAAGAACAGAGUGUGUGUUUAAUGGCGGCACCUCCUUUUAAUUUUGGAAAAUAAAUCUCACCUGGACGGAAAUAGUUAUGCAGAAUCUUUUCUGUGAUUUUUCUAGACUUGGCUUUCUCGGGGCGGUGGGCUGAGACCCUUGCUCUCUCCUCUCUCCGGCGCCUGCGCCCUGCCGCUCCCCACCUCUUCAGGAAGGCUCAUUGAGAGGGUUUGCGGGCUGCUCAUCUCUGCUUUUCGAGCUCUCCCCUGGCAUCCCUGGAGGAGCCUGGGUGGGGGCCGCUCCCCCACAGAUAGAAAGAGAAACUGACCUGGGAGGGAGGUGACUUAGGGACCAGGUGUUGGGUGGCAGGGAGACGGGCCCGGUCAGAGCUGUGAGCCCUGCUGGCCCUCCUUGGGAGACGGGCCGGUCAGAGCUGUGAGCCCCGCUGUCCCUCCUUGGGAGACGGGCCGGUCAGAGCUGUGAGCCCCGCUGUCCCUCCUUGGGAGACGGGCCGGUCAGAGCUGUGAGCCCCGCUGUCCCUCCCUGGGAGACGGGCCGGUCAGAGCUGUGAGCCCCGCUGUCCCUCCUUGGGACCCGGAGUUGGUGCCUGCUGGGUUUGGGUUGCUGUAACGGCGGACUCAGUAGAUUCUGCGGCCUCGGCCCACGCAUCCCUUGCCAGCGUGUCUCGGUGAACUUUUUGAACGCCCUAGCAUCCCAGGGGCUGCGUCUCACGUGGGUCUUGAGCUCUCCAGGCUGUGUGGAUCAGAGUCUCUUGAAAACUCCCCGAGGUGCCCACGGAGUGUGGUCCCAGCCAGUGCCCCGCCUGGCACUGGAAGACAGAGCGCAGCCCUCCCUGUGGGUGGGGACAGCACCCGCAGCAGUCCCAAGGCAGGGGCCGGGGCUCUGGGGGCUCCCGCGGGGGAGGAAAGAGGAAAGUCCAGGGACAGGGGCACAGCCCACGGGAGGCCUCAGGAGCACGACAGGAGAAGGUGGGGCACCCCGUCUGGCUCCAAGGGCCAGGUUGCCAGGUCCCCAGGGACAGGCAAAGCCCAGCGGGGUAUUGUCCUGCGAUGGGUAUCACAGAGCACCGCAAACUGGGUGCCUGAGGUGACAGACCUUUGUUCUGUCUGGUCCAGGAGAAGUGUGAAGUCAAGAUGGUGCAGCAGACAUCUGCUCCUCGCCUCUCACUGCUCAGCUGUGCUUCCCUCCUUCCUCUGUGUGUCUGUCCCAUGUCUCUUGGAACAAGGACACCGAUCUCACAUGAUCAGUGCCCCAUCUACUCCACAGUCUAUCCACGCCAUACCUGGCACAGAAAGGGUGCCUGGAGAAAAUAUUACGAGCAGGGGAGGGAGGAGCCCACCACCGGGGUCACAAGGGCCUGGCCCCGUGCCAGCCCUGAGAUGCUGCGGGCCCAUUUCUCUGGCUUUGGACGUGGCCUGCACCCUUGCUCUUGCCCACGGCUGAGGAGCCCCCCUCAACUUCCCAUGAGGCCACGUGGUAAGGGUUGUCGAGGUGGGGACAGGCAGGGACCAAGCGUCCCCUGGGUGGGGCUCGUCUGCACAGGCUGUGCAGACUCAGGUUGGGCCCUGCGGCCCGACCCUUGACCUUGAGGCCUGUGGGCUUUGCAGGUCAUUUCAUUACUUUCGCUUUGACACCUGUGCCAGAGAAACAGGCCCUAAGCGUUGUAUCAGCUGGCCAAGGCGAUGGUCAUAAAUACAAAAUAAAAUAUAAACACAGUGUAAAAACAGAGUAUUCGUUAGCAUCUUGCCUUGCUGCGUUCUGACCUUAUCCUACCCCGUCCUGACCUCAUCUUACCCACCACAGACCCAUUCUAUCCCAGGUUAACUUCGUCUUGCCCCAUUCUAACCGCUUACCAUUCAUGCCCUCAGUAUGCCCUGAUCUCACUCCAUCACGACUGCAUCUCACCCCUUUGUGACUCGUCUUCCUCCAUGCUGACCCUGUAAUUAUUAUGACCUCGUCGUGCUCUAUUAUGACUUUGUCUUGCCCCUUUAUGACCUCAUACCCAUUACAACCUCAUCAUACCUGUUAUGAUCUCUUUGUAUUCCUUUAUACACUCGUCUUACCCUCACUGUGACCUCAUCUUACCCCCACUGUGACCUCAUCACACCCCAUAUGAUCUCAUCACACCCCAUAUGAU
rnacentral:lncRNA from 1 species